GGCGCUGCACCCACCUUGCAAGAACAAGGUCCUGAGUUUGAUCGCUGGUACAAAAAAAAAAAAAAGUCAAAGUAAUGUUUUAUGGGGCCAAAUUAAAUAAUAACUAUAAAGUAUCUAGUGAGGGUGUAAUACGUUGUAAGUAUUCCAUAAAUCAUGGCUUUCUCCCGACAAAAUGGUCGCACAGGCAAGAUUGGAAGUCUCAGAGAGACAAUGGGACUUAACAAAAGAUGCACAGCAAGUACUACGUCCUUCUUGGCCUUGGAGUUCCCUGUCAUCUGUUACUGCUGAGACUGCUCAGCUCACUCCCAACAGAAGGUUGAGGCCCCCGUUCCUAGGUCUCCCAUAAAGGUAGGUGACUGUCACUGCGAACAUUUAUAGAGCUCUUUCCAGGAACCGGCCUGGGUGCUCAGCAGUUAGGGUUUCAUUUUAUUCUUCAAACAGUCUUUGGAAGAAAACAUCGUAAUUAUUUUUCCUGUUUUAAAGGUGAGUAGACUGAGGUUCAUGAUUUACCCAAGAAGUGGAAUUUGCAUGGGAUGCCCUGGGUUCCAGCAGUGCCGGCCUUGGAGGGAGGGUGGCAGAUGAAAGAUUAUUUGGGGUCUGCUAGCUGGUUUCAGAAUUUCAGCUUUGUCAUUCCACAUUCGGGAAUGGGUUCAAGCCCUCCAUUUUACAGAUGGGAAGACUGAGCCUCAGAGGCUUCCCAACGGUUCCCCAGGGUGGGUCUCGGGGUGGUGGACACCAAGCCUGUAGAACCAGAGAGGCCCCUUCACCUGCCUCCGUGAGAGAUCUGGACUCUCCUCGCCUUCCCGCCCCACCCACCUCCAUCACUAUGGCAACCACGCAGGCACCUGAGGGACAUAGAUUCAUUUGACUCUGAUGACAGCCCACUUCCUGGAGAGGGAAACUGAGGCUCGGAGAAACCAUGUAUCUCACCAGCAAGGAAGUAUAGAGAGAGUCUCUGACCUGUCUGGCUUCAGAGCUGGGCUCUGACUAUGGGAUCUGGAGAACAUUACGCAUCACCAAAUGGCAAGAACCUCUGGUGCCAGCAUUUGGGCAGUGUUGCAGGAAUUAGCUGGCCCAUUAAAUCCGGGGCAAGAAGCAUUAAGAGCCCAACCCCGACACUAGAAGAUAAGAAGCCCAAUCCAGCCACUGAGAAAGGUGGCCUUAGGCCUGCGACCAGAGACUGAGCGGGGAGGAAUUCACUCUUCCUGUGCUUCCUGCCCUCCUACCCGCCCUGUGAUUUAUGCUUUAUCCAAGAGGCUUCCCGCUGCAGGCGGCAGGAUGGGCUGCCUCCAACCGACUCUUCAGCCCCCAGGAAUUUAUCAUGUGCACAAAUUCAGAUUUGCACCGCAGUGCUGCGCAUAACUGAAGAAAAGUGCAGGGCAUCCGCCCGGGAGGAUGAGUUUAAUAGAUUUGUCGCAUGCAGCCAGGGACACCUAGACAGCCUUUGGGAGGCACAAGAGAGAUGUGAACCUGCUUGAAGAGAACUCUCCAGGCUGCAGGCCCUGGGAAAAGUGGGCCGACCGCAUUGUGCAUGUUCUCGAUCAUAUGUCCAGAAAAUGAAUGGCACUGCACACGCAUGAUUGCAAGAAGUGGCGAACCGUUAUAUGUAGCACAUAGCAGACUCUCACUAAACAUUGUGUGAGUGACUCACUGACUGAAUGAACAAGCGCCUUGUUGCUGGGUCGCAGAAAUGAAGGUAGCAGAGAGUUUUGUGUCCUUUUAAUCUUAUAAUGAUCAACUGCUUUUCUUGUCUUUUCUUUUGCUUUCUUUUCUGCAGUAUUAGGAAUUGAACCUAGGACCUCCCCGCUGAGCCACAUCCCCAACCUUUUUUUAUUUUGAGAUGGGGCUCCUUAGGUUGCUGAGUUGCCCGAGGUGGGCUUGAACUUGUGAUGCUCCUGCCUCAGCCUCCCAAGUGGCUAUGGGUACAGGAAGAAACCACCAGGCCAGCUCUGACUGUUUUCCAUUUGCAUGUGUUUUCUUUUCACUUUUAUACUUUUAGCCAACAAAGUGUCGUUUACACACAAAGUCACUCAUUUUAAGUAGUAGUUUGAUGAGCUGCCAACACCAGCACAGUCCCAGUCCAGAUCGUGUUCAUGAGCCCUCAGAUCUCCCUCCCUCUGGAGCCCAGCUCCACCUCCUCCUGGGCUUCCGUCCUGAGAAAGGAAGUUGGGCCUUGUAGAGUGGGAGACCCCUGGCUCCUCUGAGGGCUGACAAGCAGCAUGUGUGCUCCUGAGAAUGACCUGGUUUAAUCCCCAGGCACCCUGCGUGGUAUGAGGUGCCCCAUUUUGGAAACCAGUCCUCUGAGGGGCUCGUGUGUCUGCCAUUCUGUGAUGAUCAGAUCCACCACAUCUGCCAGCCCCAGCCCGAAGUCGGUAUUAUUCCCAUUAUGACACCUGAUCCGAGGGAGGCUCAGAGAGACAGUGAUUUGCUUCAGGCCACACGGCGAUGACUCGUUGGAUCCAGACCAGCUGAUAUGUCACGCAGAAGGGGACCAAGGCGGAGGCGCUCGUCCAAACAUGCAGGGGCUGAACUCGAGGAGCCUCCCGAAGGAUGGACCGUGACUUUGGCUCCGUGCUCUCCUGAAUCGGGACCUGUGCCUCGCCCGCUUCCAGGAUCUCUGGCUCCUUCUGGACAGCGACACAGUCCCGGCAGUUAUUGUCAUUGAACGUGGAGGUGCCCAGAAGACUCCGACCCGAGUGAAGCCCACACUUCCACCCCUGCCUGGAGACCCGGCUAAAGACCUCUAUGCUUCUUAUCGUAGAUGCCACCAGUCAUUUCCGUGAGGCCGAGCUAUAACGGGAGCAGGGGCCCAAGGGGGAGGAGGAAGGGAAAGAGUCAUCCUGGAAAAGUUUAAAUCAAUUAACUCCCUUCCAGAAAACAGGCUGGGAAAUGUAAUGGAGAAAUAAUGACUUUUCUCCACAGGAUUAAAUGACAUAGACCAGGGCCCAUCAAGGAAUCAGGGAAACAGGCUUGGGAGCCCUGUUCCUGACAGCUUAGGUGGACUUGGGCAAGUCUCAGUCCUCCUCACAGUCUUAGUUCCCCAAUCUGUACCAAGAGAGGGCUGGAAGGAGCACUAAGAAUGGCUAACGCAAGGCAUACCUCCCACUACUCUCCCCUUCCUUGCCUGUGGCAGACAUUACUAGUCAGUUGCAGCACAAUUCUCACUGAGCCCGGGUGGGAUAUCAGAACCUGUUCCUCCCAACAGGUCCAGCUUAGCACACAAGCACCCCACAGGGUUUAGGUGGUCCCCAAGUCCUCUUCAAGCACUAAGCCUAUUUCCAUCCACAGCAUCAUUAACUGCUUUCAUAGACUCAGAAUCUAUCAUGGCGCUAACAGCAAAGAUUAACAGAUGUUUACUGUGGGUCCAGCACUGUUCUAAAUGCUUUCCUCUCUUAUCUCACUGCAACAUCACAACCGUCAGACAAAGCAGUUACUAUUAUUGUUAUUCUUAUGUCAAGCAGAAGAACACCAAGGCCCGAGGGGGGAGGCGGAGUGAUGAGCCUAAGGUCAUCAUUAAUAAUAAGAAAUGGGGCCAAACCAGGUGCAGGAGCACACAUCUGUAAUCCCAGCAUAGAGAGAGACUGAGUCAGGAGGAUUGCAAGUUUGAGUCUUGCCUGGGCAGUUUACCAAAAUGAAAAUGAAAUAGGCGGGGGAUAGAGCUCAGUGCCCCCGGGUAUGACAACAAAAAAGUAAUGAGGCCAGGAUUCAAAGCUGUGCCCCUGCACUAAAUAAACCAGAGGCAGUGAAAAGACCCUUCUCUUUCCUCACCAUUGUAAGUCUGGAAGAGACAGCUAAGCUCUGUGCCUAGUGUUUGGAAUUGCAAUCAUCUUCAUUUUGCUUUUUGGGAAACGGAGGCUGAGGGGAGGGUGACAGGACCUGUAAAGGCUUUGCGGCCGAUUGCUUGCUAGGUGUAGGUGAGAGCACCCUGUUCUUCUUUGCUCACUGGCCUCUCUGCUUGCAGCGUUGUGUGCCCGAGGCAGGAAGUGCGCCCCUUUAUCCUAGAGUCUCCAUCGCCUCGCCCUGGGCCUGGUGGAUGGAGGUGGAGAAGGAAGGGGUGAAUGACAAGCGAGCUCAGGGCACAUUCCGGCCCCUGCACCACCGGCUUGGGACUCCUGAACUGACUCCCUGUCCUUGUCCUCUGCUCACCGACCUGCUCUAGUCCAGUGACUUCUCGCUUGUGCUCUUGGCUCCAGAUGACCCCGAGAGCUUCUUGUCAGAGUCAAAAUCCAUCCAGCCCUGCCUGCCCCGCCCAUCCUCCUACUGCAGGUAGAGAGAAGGGGGUGUUGUUGGAAGGGAGGGGGAGGAUCCCACUCCAGGAGACUCUUGGCACACUGAGCCCUCUCCAGAGUCCCUUCAUGACCUCCCAAAGCUUCAGGACCCUUUAGUCAAAUACCAUGGAGCCUAACAUAUAAGACGGCAAAAAGCAAAGGGCUCUAGCUGCUAGGUGUGGGACUUGGGGAGGAGGCGCCCUACCUGCUGUCCAACAACUCCCCUUGGCUUUCAGCAGCCUUCACAGCAGAGACUCUCAGAAAAUCUCUAGAAGCCACAGACAGACACUGUCCUGGGGGCAAAGGUCUGAAUGCCUUAGCAACCACUGGCUCACUGUGUGACCUGGAACAAGUCUCUCCCUUGCUCUGAGCCUCAGUUUCCCCACCCGUGACAUGAGAGGAGUGAACCCAGCCGCUUUCAGAUCUUUACUGUUGGAACUGUAGAAACAUUUUCCCAAAUGAAAUCACGUGCUGAACCCCAAUAUGAAAAAGGAAACAUCAAACACAUCCUGACUGGAGUUGGUGGGGAAGAAGGUGGCGUAGACCCAGACUGUUGUCUUUUCCAACACCCAUGCCACCAACUAGGGGUCCCUGAGGCAUCUUCCCAAAACCCUAUUUUGAAAGAUUUUCAAAAUACAGGAAUAACUCUUCUAUUUCAAGUGUUGCUUCAUGAAAAAUUUGAAACACACAGCCAAGGUAAAAGGCAUUUACAAUGAACAUUUAAAUACCUACCACCUGGGAUGUACCAUUAAUAUUUUACUGCACUCAUUUUAUCAAAUAAGGGCACUCUCUGAGCUCUGCAGAAUCGCAGCACUCUUAGAGGGUUAUGCCAGGAGCUCUGGGCCCUUUGGGAGAAACUUUAUGAAUGGUGCUGCAACGCCAGCUGCUAUAACAAAUAGGCCCAGCAGUUAGGGGCUUCACUCAAUAGCAACUCAUCUCUUACAGUACAGCUGCAAGCCAGGGUCUC